rnacentral:rRNA from 1 species
AUUGAACGCUGGCGGCAGGCCUAACACAUGCAAGUCGAGCGGUAGAGAGAAGCUUGCUUCUCUUGAGAGCGGCGGACGGGUGAGUAAUGCCUAGGAAUCUGCCUGGUAGUGGGGGAUAACGUUCUGAAACGGACGCUAAUACCGCAUACGUCCUACGGGAGAAAGCAGGGGACCUUCGGGCCUUGCGCUAUCAGAUGAGCCUAGGUCGGAUUAGCUAGUUGGUGGGGUAAUGGCUCACCAAGGCGACGAUCCGUAACUGGUCUGAGAGGAUGAUCAGUCACACUGGAACUGAGACACGGUCCAGACUCCUACGGGAGGCAGCAGUGGGGAAUAUUGGACAAUGGGCGAAAGCCUGAUCCAGCCAUGCCGCGUGUGUGAAGAAGGUCUUCGGAUUGUAAAGCACUUUAAGUUGGGAGGAAGGGCAGUAAAUUAAUACUUUGCUGUUUUGACGUUACCGACAGAAUAAGCACCGGCUAACUCUGUG